ACAAACAAGGGAAAUCACAGAUAAGGAGACUUGGCCUUCAGAGCCACAAAAUUAUAGCUACUCUGGCUGAUCAUGUGAAGUGGUCACACGGUCAUAUUCAACAGUGUGUUCAAAGUCGCUCUCCGUCACAUCCAGCUGGUGUGAUUAGCAUCAAUCAGCGUUGCUUUUAUGCAGUGGAAAACGCAUCGAGUUAAACAGCCUCCUGCUCUAAUAAAGGCCUUUUGUCCUGCGUUUUACUCUCACCAUGGCAACUAUGCAGCCGCCCCGAAGCAUCCCAGACAAACAACAAAGGAGGAGGCAGACUGUCCGCCUCCCACACACACACCCCGUUCGUGUAUCGCAUCCCGUGGCUGAGCCUCGUCGCUCUGCUGGACCUGCUGCCGAGCUUCAAAAUGAUUAAUGCUGAUAAAAACAGCAGCAUAAAAAAAAUGUCUGUCUCUUUGUCUUCGCAGCUGUGUGACUGACAGAUUCAAAAACGUUAGAAGAAUUAAAACCACCAGACUGCAGGCGCUUGUUAAAUGUAGCAAUUAGUCAUAAAAGGAGUGAAGAACAAAGGGCACCUUACAGGAACACACUUAAAAGAAGCGGGAAGAGAUUAGACUUCUCUUUAUGACAACUCACACAGAGCAGGUGCGAGCUGCUGAAUAGUGGUGAUGAAAAGGCGGCCGGCCCCAGGCUUUGUAACCGCCAGUGGUCUGUUUACUCUUCACCUCAGGUGAGGCAGCACCUGCCGAACACCACGCUACCCUAUCUACGCCACGUGUCUCUACAUGCCAGGUCACGCUCCCUUAACCCUCACUAACAGAUAGAGCUCUAAUGCCUGCACGUUCACCACCAUCGCCCUGCUGCUGAGCAACUGCAAUCUGUGAUGUGCAUCUAUAAGCAGGCCGCUGACUUUACUUGAAUUAAAUGAAACAUCGGUUGCUCCAGUUUAGUUUUUGUUUUUCCCCCAACACAAAGCGAGGCUGCUCAAGCAGUUUGUGGAACAAAUUCUGAGCAGAUGUUGCUCAACGCUGAAGCCAUGAGCCUGUAUUUGUUUAGGGAACAGUGGUGGUUUCACUGGUGAAGGGAUCAGAGGCUGGCGCUGUUUGCUUUAAAGCUCGUUCAAUAGACAGCCUAAUCACUGAGGCAGCUGCCAGAGCUGCCUGGGUACUGACAGAAAGAGGAGGAGGGUGGAUGGAGGAGAGGUGGUGGAUUCUCACUGCUGAUUAGUAAAUCGAAAACCGUGUGUGGCCAUUCACCCCCUUUUCACCCCCUGUCGUCUCCCCCCCCACACACACAGCCAGAGCCUCUUGAAUAGAACAAUGCUGUGAGUUUUCAUGCUGGGUAAAGUCUCCACUGGGUAAACGCUGAAAGCGUUUGCCAGCAUUUGCAUACAGCUGCAGGAGUUAACUAAAGAGAAAUCUCCCGGUGAAGGUUUUCCUUAGUCAUUGUUCCUUCACUGAAAACUUAAAAGAGCUACUUUCAUGGAAUACUAAUUCAAACAAAAAGAAUGCGCGAGAGAGAAAAGAGAUGGUCCUGUGUGGAGCAGAGAUAAGAGGCGAGAGGGCAAGGGGUGAGGAGAAGAGCGGCGCUGCGCUCCUGAUCACAGGAAGGUCUGGCACGGCCCUGUCUGAGCUGAACGUGGUGCCUGGCUGGCUGCCUCCAGCUCCACAGGAAGGAAGGGCACUGGGCUCCCUUCUUUUCUAUCAUCCACCUCCACCCUGAUUCCUUCCCCUUUCUGUCCCAGCUUUUCAAAGCAUUUCAGCACUUUUUGUGCAGACUAAUAAUUUGGCAGACAUCAAACAGGAUUAGAAUUGUUUCAUCAGGGAUGCAGUAAAAGAUAAGUUGAUGGCAUAAAACGCAUGCAUUUGUUGAUUACCAAAUCAGAAGUUGCAGAUUAACAGCAGGAUUUCCUCCUGAAUGACAUCCACCCACUUUCUGACAGCUUGUAUUUUAUUUCUUUACACUGAAGCCAUUUGAUUAAUUGAACUGCAGCUCCAAGUAGGUUUUUUUUUUCUAAAUGGUAAAAGAUCUCAUUGUUGGACUGCUGGCUAAUUAUCAGACUCUUAGGAGAGGAAUGCAUGGCACACCACCGUGAAGAUGUCAGUGCCAGCUGUCCAGACACAAGAAAUAAUUUUACACACUGGGGGAAAAAAACGCUCAUAUGUGCCAGAUUUCCAAAUGAACUCCGGAAAGAGAGAAAGUAAAGAGGAUGGUUAGGAAUUAAACUUUAAACAUAAAGUCCCAGUUACUGAGUGUUUUUUUUUUCCAAAAGCAUUUAUUAGCUAUAGCGGGUAACAAUGUGCAUAAAGACCCAAACAAGCUGGAUUUACAAAAGUGUUAUUUAUGCUAUGUAUGCGCUCAAAGAUUAAGAAGGCCACAAGCACUAUUGUGUCAACAAACCUAUCACGGAGAUAAUCUACCUUCCCUGUUCUCACAGAAACACCACCAGAUCACAUACUGAGCAGAUGUGAGAAGCAAGCAAGCAAGUGUAAAAGCCUGCAAAAACCAUACUUGCUUAUACAGAAAUAAUACUUUUUGUCCCCUGUGUCUGACGCUCCAACAUUGAUGCAAACUCCACAGAUGUCCAUCAGCUGAGCGUGAGAAUCAAAUCUGAUCACAGAGGAUGGCCAUAUGUACAUGGUGGGAACUCGGAACAUCAUAUGGCUGGCAUUAAGGCUUUCCAUUGUGCUGUCUCCCCUGACCACCUGGCACCCCUUCUCCAGGAACUCCUUCAUGCAUUGUGGUGCUCAGUCUGUCCUUUUUGUCCAAGCAGCCACCUACCAGCUGCCUGCCUCUCAGCCCUGCUGUUAAUUCUGUUUUAAAUGGGUUAACUAACAUCAUCCACUGCAGUAAUUGCAAACAAUUAGCAGAAGCUGUUCCCAUGUAAGCAGCUGCUGCAGAUCAUGGUUUGAUCUACUCCAUCUGAUCAUUACUCCUUUUCACACAGUGAUUGUGACAGUCUAUUAUUAUUUGAAACCCUGGCAUCAAACAGAUCCCCUUCAACUUUACUGCUGCUUGGAAUAAAAAAGAAAAGAAAAAGAAAACCUUUAUGUGACUGCAGCCGAAACAAAUUACAACGACUUCUGCAAAAGCGCAUGUGAGGUGUAGGAUAAAAUCACUUUGACUAGCUACUGUUUCCUCAGCCUUGUCUUUGUGCACCCUCUAGGAGCUUGGUUUUCAAGGACACAUUUUCAUACUCAGCGUGCUCCUUCCCAGCAUAAGCAAGCCUAUAGAUGCACCCUUUUGUCCCAGGCAUCCCCUAAACGAAGCCCCCAUGUUCCCAUCCCUCCACUAAGCUUGACCCAGACUCAGCUCCCACGUUCCCAUGGAGAGAGGGGAGACAAGGGGCUGGGAAAGCUUUUCUUCCCCCUUCAGAAAGAAGCUUUGUUAGCCCUGGAAGGGGGACAGCGUUGGAGUCGGUGGCUGUGAAGCAUCCAUUGCACCGGGGGCAUUCACAGGGACACCUCAAAAGAGGGGGGAUAAUAGAGAGAGGGGAGAGAGGGGGGUUGAGAAAAGGGGAGAAGAGGGAGUUCUGAAACUGCUCCCUCCGUUCUCAGGGACAUCACUCAAGGGAAAAUAAAACGUGACAGAGCAGAGGGAAUUCAGCAUGGUGAACAGGGGUGGUGUGGCCGUUUCAGUAUGUCAUCUGGUGACAAGGGGAACAAUACAGCACCGUAAACAGCGAUCAAACAUCAUCAUCACCUGCAUGCGUACACUGACUUAUUGUUACAACUAUGUAGCGCGGGCUCAGCAACAAUGACAUCAUCUACAAAGUCACACCAGAAGUGAGAGCCAGGGGACCGGCCGUCCGCCUCAGAUCUCGGUUUCAGUUUCCCUCCUCAUGCUGCAUUAGCGGAAACUCUCCAAAGACCGCGACUGAGAAUGCUUCAGCUGCUUUGAGACGUGUAAAUAUGACCCAUUUUUAUUGAUCUACACACAGAAUUCCCAAAAGUCUGGAAGUAGUUCCUUCAGGCCUUUGGAUUUUGUGGAGACGACCUCCAGGCUGAAAGGAAACUACCACUGAACAGUUGUCAUUGGGGAAACCUUAAUAUCGCUAAGAUGUCCUGAUCCCCUGAGCUUUUUUCACAAUAUUCUUCUCUUAUACCACAAUACCUCACACGGCGCAGCGGCAGAUGCUCGGUCAUCUCUGCAUUAUUCUACAUCUGCUGCUGUUUAUGACUUUUAAUGAAUGUUUACUCUGCAGCCGAAAGUCUAUUAACAGCUAGAAAGAAUAAACACCCUGCUUUCAA